rnacentral:rRNA from 1 species
AUUGAACGCUGGCGGCAGGCCUAACACAUGCCAGUCGAGCGGAUGAAGGGAGCUUGCUCCUGGAUUCAGCGGCGGACGGGUGAGUAAUGCCUAGGAAUCUGCCUGGUAGUGGGGGAUAACGUCCGGAAACGGGCGCUAAUACCGCAUACGUCCUGAGGGAGAAAGUGGGGGUCCUCGGGACUCAAGCCAAUCGGAGGGCCUUAGGUCGGAUUAGCUAGUUGGUGGGGUAAAGGCCUACCAAGGCGACGAUCCGUAACUGGUCUGAGAGGAUGAUCAGUCACACUGGAACUGAGACACGGUCCAGACUCCUACGGGAGGCAGCAGUGGGGAAUAUUGGACAAUGGGCGAAAGCCUGAUCCAGCCAUGCCGCGUGUGUGAAGAAGGUCUUCGGAUUGUAAAGCACUUUAAGUUGGGAGGAAGGGCAGUAAGUUAAUACCUUGCUGUUUUGACGUUACCAACAGAAUAAGCACCGGCUAACUUCGUG